CUAAAGAGAAAAACCGCAUCCAUCCAGACCUGCAUUCCCUCAUCGAAAUAUGGCUUCAACACGGUUGUUCCACUUCUGAGAUCUUAAUAAAAAGCUAUGAUUGGGCUCAACAAAAUGGGCAUGUGGACAAAAAAGACCGCCGGUUUUACGUGACCCCUAAUGACAUUCGACUUUUAAAGAAAAAACUCAGAGGUGUGAGUGACAGUGAUUCUGUCAGUGUGGACCAUUUGGUUUCCAUGGAACUCAGAGACAACAUCUGUUUUUAUCAGCCACUUCACAAUGAAGAACCAUUCAUUUUAGUUGUACAAACACCAUUUCAAAAACAACUUUUGCAAGAGAACCCCCAUCCAAUGGUUUUCAUGGAUGCUUCAUACAAAGGCAUAACAGCCUACGGGUAUGCAUUUUAUGCACUGUUAUUGAUAAACAAAACUGGAAGAGGCGUGCCAUUUGCCUAUUUUAUCCUGAGCAAGGAAACUACUGCAACCGUAAGCCUCUGCCUACAGAAGCUUCAAUUGAGUAACCCAGGCUUCUAUCCAAGGUCAGUGAUGAUGGACCGUGACUUGAGAGUGCUUAAUGCUAUUAAAAGCGUUUUCCCAAAGGCAAAGCUUCUCCUUUGUUGGUUCCAUGUGCUUCAGGCUGUUAACCGGUGGCUUGUGAAGACAGAUGGAGGUCACCUGACACCUGAACAAAGAAAUGUGGUCAUUCAUGCAAUGGCAUCAAUGAAAGCAUGCCUGACGG